rnacentral:rRNA from 1 species
UACGGGGGGAGCAAGCGUUGUUCGGAUUUACUGGGCGUAAAGGGCGCGUAGGCGGCGUGACAAGUCACUUGUGAAAUCUCCGGGCUUAACUCGGAACGGUCAAGUGAUACUGUCGUGCUAGAGUGCAGAAGGGGCAAUCGGAAUUCUUGGUGUAGCGGUGAAAUGCGUAGAGAUCAGGAGGAACACCGUAGCGGAAGGCAGGUCUCUGGCGGAU